CUUUUCAUUCCCGUUGUUAUGGAGGGCCACAUCUGCCAGAGCCUGGAGUCUGCGAAGGCCGGGACCCGGUUCCCCGGCCCACAGUGGGGGUGUGCAAACCCGAGAGAACUGGGUUGCAAAUUCGUGAAGAAUCAGCAUCAUGUUUGGCAGCUGAGUAUUGGAGCCAGGAGCCUGCCAUGAGGUUUUGAGAACAGAGUGCUGUUUUAGAGCUGGCAGCAGCAUCUCAGCCCAAGAGAAGCCGAUGCAGCCUCAGUGUUCCUUUGCCUUGGGGGUUUCUGAGUGGUGGGGUUGUAAGCAGAUCCUGCCAGGCACCCAGAAGGAAACCUCAUCAGGACUCCCUCAGAAAGGCCCUGAAGAAUCCUGUGACCUUCAUCUAAAGUAGGUCAUGAGACCCCUGAGCUUAAAACGGAGUGAUCGGCUUUGGAGAAAAAUCCCUGGAAGGCACGCAGGCUGGACAUCAUCAUAUAUUCUCUACAGAUGGAGACACCAAGGCCCACGCCUUCUGUGCUGUUGGAAUUUCAGGAAGGAUGGGGGUGGGGCACGGCCUCAGCCCUGGGCAUGUUCUGCAGAUUGCACUGCUCUUAUCUGCCAGGGGGUGGUGAGAGGGUGGCUGAGCUGGACAGAUGGCGGGCAGGGACGGGCUCUGCGGUCUGGCAGCUGACAUUGAUACAAGCAAAAAAAGAGUCUUUGCUGGGGGCUC
rnacentral:lncRNA from 1 species